GGCGGACGGGUGAGUAACGCGUGGGAAUCUGCCUUUAGAUGGGGGAUAACGGGCCGAAAGGUCCGCUAAUACCGCAUAUGCCGCAAGGUGAAAGGAGUAAUCCGUCUAAAGAUGAGCCCGCGUCCGAUUAGCUAGUUGGUAGAGUAAGAGCCUACCAAGGCGACGAUCGGUAGCUGGUCUGAGAGGAUGAUCAGCCACAAUGGGACUGAGACACGGCCCAUACUCCUACGGGAGGCAGCAGUGGGGAAUUUUACGCAAUGGGGGAAACCCUGACGUAGCGACACCGCGUGAGCGAAGAAGCCCUUUGGGGUGUAAAGCUCUGUCAGCUGGAACGAAAACAAUGACGGUACCAGCAGAGGAAGCAUCGGCUAACUACGUG
rnacentral:rRNA from 1 species